rnacentral:rRNA from 1 species
UAGCCGUAAACGAUACUCGCUAGGUGUCGGCCACGGUGCGACCGUUGUCGGUGCCGUAGGGAAGCCGUGAAGCGAGCCACCUGGGAAGUACGGCCGCAAGGCUGAAACUUAAAGGAAUUGGCGGGGGAGCACCACAACGGGUGGAGCUUGCGGUUUAAUUGGAUUCAACGCCGGGAAGCUCACCGGAUAAGACAGCGGAAUGAUUGCCGGGCUGAAGACCCUACAUGACCAGCUGAGAGGAGGUGCAUGGCGUAGUCGUGU